rnacentral:rRNA from 1 species
UACGGAGGGUGCAAGCGUUGUUCGGAAUCAUUGGGCGUAAAGCGCGUGUAGGCGGCUUGGUAAGUCGGGUGUGAAAGCCCGGGGCUUAACCCCGGAACUGCAUUCGAAACUGCCUCGCUAGAGUCCCGGAGGGGAAGGCGGAAUUCCCGGUGUAGAGGUGAAAUUCGUAGAUAUCGGGAGGAACACCCGUAGCGAAGGCGGCCUUCUGGACGGUGACUGACGCUGAGACGCGAAAGCGUGGGGAGCAAACAGG